rnacentral:rRNA from 1 species
UACGUAGGUGGCAAGCGUUAUCCGGAUUUACUGGGCGUAAAGAGCGCGCAGGCGGUCGAUUAAGUCGAGUGUGAAAGCCCCCCGGCUCAACUGGGGAGGGUCACUUGAUACUGGUCGACUCGAAGGCAGGAGAGGGAAGUGGAAUUCCCCGGUGUAGUGGUGAAAUGCGUAGAGAUCAGGAGGAACACCAAUGGCGAAGGCAGCUCUCUGGCUUCACCCCUGACGCUGAGGCGCGAGAGCGUGGGGGAGCGAACGGGG